GAACAGAUUACGUUCGAAAACCGAGUUACCACUGUAUUUUGAAGAAGGUUGGACAACAGAGUUAAGACAGCAAUAUGUUAUUUUUCUUUGAAGGUAACAGAUUUCCUGUAUAAGGUUGGGGUCUUUCAAGUUUCCUAUUGCUGAAAUGGUGUUUGACCAUACUGCAGGAUGUUAGCAUCCAAAAUGCAUAUGUAAAGGGUUAAUUGCAAGAGGUGUGGAACUCUGAGAUGACAUACACCUUCUGGCAGUUAUGGCAGUUGGUACAGUUAUGGCAGUUAGUAGAACAGUCUUAACAGUUAGAGCAGCAGGGUCUCAUUAUGGAACUGUCAUUGUAACACAGGUGCUAUUUGCUCAAAAUAGAUGCAACCAAACAGAAGGGAGACUUAUUCAGCAGAAGAACUGGCUUUAUUGGGGGAAAGGGAUAAUUUAGUUUCAAUAUGUACCAUCCAAGAAGAAGAAGAAAAAUGGAAAAUUCCUGUCAUCAUCUUCACUGUUUCCAACAGGCCUCCUCGUUGAACUGGAAUCACUUCUGGAUUUGAUUUGGACUAAUCUGACUGCUGAAUAUUUCUAGUUGCUGAGUAUUUUGUAAAUGAGACACAAUUUAGAAACUUGCACCACCCUGAAGCAUUUUUAAAGUUAACAAUUUUUAAAAAGUCUGCAUGACAAAAAGAAGCUCAAGGCUCGCUUGUGAAAAUGGCAAAACACAUCAGGGCUGCUUUUCCUAAAACACUGGAAAUACUGAACUAACGUACAAACCGUCCUGGUCGUCCUAGACCAGAUCUUGCCAAAUUUACCGGAGUGAAUCAACAGACAUUAUUCACCCACAGGCUAAGUGACACUUAGCAAACCAACGAGGUGCAAUCAACAGGUCCUCCUUCAAAAUGAAUGAAACAAUUAUUUGUCCGGAAGAGCUGAUGAUAAAUAUGCAUAUCAUUAUAAUUUAUCUUCAUUAUCAUGAUCAAAAUACUUUGAUUUGGACCCUUGUAUUGCAUGCUUAAAUUAAAACAAAGUUCAGUCAUCUGUGCUUAAAUGUGAAUGGAUCCAUCAGUGUACAAGGUAAUAUAUCUUCUACAAGUCACCUUAAGUUUAUGUAGCAAAUUGAAGGGGGGGGAUGAUAUACAUCUAGGUGCUUGACUCUUUUAUGGCACAUACAUUAAAAACAUCAUCAGGUGUGUUGGGGUAGGUGUUUUGGAAAACUCUAUGUCAUCAUGCAUUUUAGAGCAGACAUGGUAAAUCUAUUCAUCAUGAAACGAAGACCACCACUGUGUUUGCAGAGCAGAAAGCCAGGCUUUCUUUUCUGGAUAAUAAAUGAUCACAGUGCUGGAAGUGAGUCAGACUGGCCAGAAGACAAACUAUCUUUCAUUCCAGUCUUCUGGAUUCACCUGUACAUAUUCAGGUGCUCAGCAGAAAUGGGUUUUGUCUUCAAGGCUGAAAGACCCUUUAGUUUAAUUUAGGGGCAUUUCACUGGACUUCCCCAAGAAAGUAAAAUAAAUUUGCUAGUGGUUACAAGUUGUAAAAAGCUGUUAAAAUACACAGGUUCUGCCUCAUUUCCAGUGAAAUGCUGCGACUUAAGAACACUCGUUUAUUGUUACACACUACACUCCCAGACUGUCCAGGUAGAUGAAAUUGGAUACCCUUUCGUAUUUCUUUAAGCAUUUCAUUAUCAUUUACGGGUUGUUUUGCGGGACAGGGAGGGGGAACCCAAAACCAAAGCCCUUGGAGAGAAGUACAAUCUAACUUUCAGCAAUGUGCAGCUGAAUGCAUUAAGAGAAAGAGAGAGAGGGAGGGAGGGAGGGAGAGAGAGAGAGAGAGAGAGAGAGAGAGGACUCCAUUUGACCUUUGACUCAGGAGAGCCCUUCUGGUUUUCUGUUGCUACGGAAACAAGUUUCCUUAAUGGCAGCCCCAUCAGAGGUGAGAUGAGUAAAAUAAGCUGUUAUAUAAUGAAACAUGAAGAGACAUAUAUGAAGUAUUAAAAGCUUGACUGGGCAAGUCAGCCUGUGUCAACAGUGCAUUAAAAACAUCUAUCAUAGUCCGACUUCAGCUCUUAUGCCCAGACUGUGAUACCCUGACUGCACAUUAGGUAUGUAGUAAGAAGAGAAAAGUCUAGCCCUCCAUCACUAACCUGUUACAGUAGUUUGAAUUAUGGUUGUGCGUGUAGAAGAUCUGUCUGUGGGAUAGAGUGGGCAGACUUGACUAUGACUAGAUCCAUUCUUUUCAUUGUUACAGAAUAUUUUAGGAAUAGGAAGACAGUCUUUUGACUAUCAUUUUUUCCCACUAAAUAUGUAAAUAAGGCUGUAGAGAUGGUGACCACCUUGGCUAUUUUUUACAUAAGUUUUUUUUAUAUAAAAAAAAUGCAACAACCCCAUGAUUCAUGUAGGAGGCUCAGGGCAUAAUUGAAAACUUUAGCACACAGUGGAUUAGACACUGGGUUCAGUCAAAGUGUUGAUACCUUGAAGGAGUACCUCCCACAAUACCUUCUUAAGAUCUGGAAGGCAGGCCCUGCUUGUGGCGCAAAGUCCGUGAGGCGCUGGUACAAGGCAGGGACUUCUCAGUGGCAGCCCCCAACUAUGGAACUCCCUCUUGAUUGAUAUUUGGUUGUCUCCCACAUUGCAUCAACUUAGAACAUAUUUAUUUCACCAGAUGUGUGGUAGUUGGGGGCUCAUUUUCACAGAAAGAGUUUAUUGUCAGCCACAUUGUGUUACUCUUCCCUGGGCAAUUUUAAAUUUGUGACAAUUAUAUUAGGUUUUAAGGAGGAAGGGCAUGGUAGAAGAGCAGUCAAUCACUAAAUACCUUCUGUGACCCCACUCAAUUGCUUCAGUCUGUGGAAAUGGCACUGUUACAAGUGGCACAUAAUAUUUGUUCCGCCCUUGUAAUAAACUGUUGUUUUUGCAUGGCAGCCUUGGAACUCCCUGCUGAUUGGCAUCAGGUAGUUGCCUUCGCUGUACUCUUUUUGGUGCCUGAUUAAACUGUUUUUGUUUUAGGCAAGCCUAUCCAGACACUCUUUUUAAUCUACUGUUGAUUUUCAUUAUCUUUUUAAUUACUUGUUUUUAUUGAAAAUUUUAAUAUUUCUUGUAAACUGCUUGGAAGCUUUAUUACAGUCAAGUGAUGCAUAAAUUUUGUUAAAUGGUCCCAAUUGCAUAUAGUGAUUUUCUGCAGGGGUGAGGAAACUUUGGGGGCAACUUUCUGGAGGCCGCAUGCUAAUGGUGGGUGGCACCAGAGACAAAGGUGUGUGGAGAAAGCAAUGCAAAUAUUUACCUUGUACAGUACACUAAUUUCCACACACUCACACACACCUCUGAAUUAUCCAUUCAGGCAGGAAAGAGUCAUUUUCAGAUUACCAGGGCCCAGAAAUCUAGAAGGGAGCCCAGGGCCCCCUUUGCGUAAAUAUAUUCUCAACAGG